CUCAUAGGCCCUAGCGCUACGGCCUCUUGGAUUUCGACUCUUACAAAACAAAACCCACUUAAAACCUCUCCUUCGCUCCUGAGAAGGCAAGAUGAAAGCCAUCAGAGUUACUAGGCUCUUGAUCUCCUCCCCUGCCCUCUCCUCCGCCGCGUCGCGCCUCCACAUCAAUCCCAUUUCUCUAUCCUACUGCACCAGUUUUCCCGACAAGGCCUCCUCCUUCUCUGAGGACAAAGCCGAGCCGGACUUUGAUAGCAAGGAAUUCUCUAUUCCCUUUUCUUCCUCCACCGCCACCGCUACGCACUCUUCUUUUGUGGGAAAGAAGAAGAAGCGCCAAAUCUGGACUGAUAAAUAUCGGGCGAAAGCCGAUCAGAUCCUCUUCGGCGAAGCAAAACCAUCUUGCUCGCAGUUUGAGGAAGAGGAUGACGAGGAGAAAGAAAGGGCGAAGAUGCUCGCAAAGGCCCUUCUUCAGGCGGCGUUGCUAGCGCCGGACGAUGCGGACGAUGAAAAUAUGAUAGUUAAGUUGGAGGACCAGAAAUCGCUCUCUGUUGGGAUCGUUGGUGCUCCUAAUGCUGGGAAGUCCUCCCUUACCAAUUCGAUGGUUGGGACAAAAAUUGCUGCUGUCUCGAGAAAGACCAACACUACCACUCAUGAGGUUUUAGGAGUGAUGACAAAAGGAAAUACACAAAUAUGUUUUUUUGACACUCCAGGACUUAUGAUAGGACAUCAUGGAUACCCUUACAGAACAGAUGUUAAAGUUCGCGUUGAAAGUGCUUGGAGUACUAUCAAUUUGUAUGAGUUGUUGAUAGUUAUCUUUGAUGUCCAUAGGCAUAUUGCCAAAUCGGAUACAAGGGUGAUAAACUUAAUUAAAAAUCUUGGAGCUAAUGCUCACCAUAAACAAAAGCGUAUUUUAUGUAUGAACAAGGUUGACCUUGUAGAAGAUAAGAAGGACCUGCUAAAGGUUGCCAAAGAGUUUGAGGAUCUUCCUGGUUAUGAAAGAUACUUCAUGAUAUCCGGGCUUAAAGGAUCUGGUGUGAAUGAUCUUGUUCACUAUUUGAUGGACCAGGCAGUUAAAAGACCAUGGGAUGAAGAACCGAGCAUGAUGACCGAAGAGAGUAUGAAAACUAUUUCUCUGGAGGUUGUUAGAGAAAGGAUGUUGGACCAUAUUCACCAGGAAAUUCCUUAUGUUAUUGAACAUCGCCUGAUGGAUUGGAAAGAGUUAAGAGAUGGUUCCCUUAGGGUGGAGCAACACUUCAUCACCCCAAAGCAAAGCCAGCGACAAAUUCUUGUUGGAAAAAAUGGCUCUAAAAUUGGGAGGAUAGGCAUUGAAGCCAAUGAAGAGUUGCGGUCAUUAUUCAAGAGGGAGGUACAUCUCAUUCUCCAAGUCAGAGUUGCUCGAAAAAAGAAUGCGUGAGGGCCGUUUGAAUGAAACUGUUUAAACAUAUGAAUGGGCAGAUGAUGACAUGAAGAAUCUGGAGGUGGUGGAACAAUUGACUUUGGGGAAUAAUGUAAAUGCAUGAGCUUAAUAUCUAAAUGCUCCUUUUCAAAUAGAAAACAUUGGAGUUUGUUUUUCAAGCUAAUUUUUUAGGCUUCACUUUUAACACCUUGGAAACUCUGCAUAGCCUUUGAUAGAGUAUCUGGACGAGUUACCAGCCCAACAGCAACCUUGCCCCUACUCAAGCCAACGCCAAUAUAUGCAUCAUCCCCCUUGCAUGCGGCCACUACAAGCUUAACUUUAAUCUGUGCUUGGCCGUGCAUUUUGUAUGCUAUGCAGAUGGAAAAAAUGCUUGUUGUAGUUUCACUAUGACUGAUUUGGAGGUUAUUCGCACUUAAUGCUACAUGUUUUGGACCUUCAA